rnacentral:rRNA from 1 species
GACGAACGCUGGCGGCGUGCUUAACACAUGCAAGUCGAACGGAAAGGCCCUGCUUUUGUGGGGUGCUCGAGUGGCGAACGGGUGAGUAACACGUGAGUAACCUGCCCUUGACUUUGGGAUAACUUCAGGAAACUGGGGCUAAUACCGGAUAGGAGCUCCUGCUGCAUGGUGGGGGUUGGAAAGUUUCGGCGGUUGGGGAUGGACUCGCGGCUUAUCAGCUUGUUGGUGGGGUAGUGGCUUACCAAGGCUUUGACGGGUAGCCGGCCUGAGAGGGUGACCGGCCACAUUGGGACUGAGAUACGGCCCAGACUCCUACGGGAGGCAGCAGUGGGGAAUAUUGCACAAUGGGCGGAAGCCUGAUGCAGCAACGCCGCGUGCGGGAUGACGGCCUUCGGGUUGUAAACCGCGUUCGCCUGUGACGAAGCGUGAGUGACGGUAAUGGGUAAAGAAGCACCGGAUAACUACGUG